rnacentral:rRNA from 1 species
GUUGUGCGGGUUUAGACCCGCAGCGGAAAGCUCAGUAACACGUGGCCAAGCUACCCUGUGGACGGGAAUACUCUCGGGAAACUGAGGCUAAUCCCCGAUAACGCUUUGCUCCUGGAAGGGGCAAAGCCGGAAACGCUCCGGCGCCACAGGAUGCGGCUGCGGUCGAUUAGGUAGACGGUGGGGUAACGGCCCACCGUGCCCAUAAUCGGUACGGGUUGUGAGAGCAAGAGCCCGGAGACGGAAUCUGAGACAAGAUUCCGGGCCCUACGGGGCGCAGCAGGCGCGAAACCUUUACACUGUACGAAAGUGCGAUAAGGGGACUCCGAGUGUGAAGGCAUAGAGCCUUCACUUUUGUACACCGUAAGGUGGUGCACGAAUAAGGACUGGGCAAGACCGGUGCCAGCCGCCGCGGUAAUACCGGCAGUCCGAGUGAUGGCCGAUCUUAUUGGGCCUAAAGCGUCCGUAGCUGGCUGAACAAGUCCGUUGGGAAAUCUGUCCGCUUAACGGGCAGGCGUCCAGCGGAAACUGUUCAGCUUGGGACCGGAAGACCUGAGGGGUACGUCUGGGGUAGGAGUGAAAUCCUGUAAUCCUGGACGGACCGCCGGUGGCGAAAGCGCCUCAGGAGAACGGAUCCGACAGUGAGGGACGAAAGCUAGGGUCUCGAACCGGAUUAGAUACCCGGGUAGUCCUAGCUGUAAACGAUGUCCGCUAGGUGGUGGCGCAGGCUACGAGCCUGCGCUGUGCCGUAGGGAAGCCGAGAAGCGGACCGCCUGGGAAGUACGUCUGCAAGGAUGAAACUUAAAGG